rnacentral:tRNA from 1 species
CGGGAUAGCUCAGCUGGUAGAGCAGAGACUG